GACGAACGCUGGCGGCGUGCUUAACACAUGCAAGUCGAACGGAAAGGCCCUGCUUUUGUGGGGUGCUCGAGUGGCGAACGGGUGAGUAACACGUGAGUAACCUGCCCUUGACUUUGGGAUAACUUCAGGAAACUGGGGCUAAUACCGGAUAGGAGCUCCUGCUGCAUGGUGGGGGUUGGAAAGUUUCGGCGGUUGGGGAUGGACUCGCGGCUUAUCAGCUUGUUGGUGGGGUAGUGGCUUACCAAGGCUUUGACGGGUAGCCGGCCUGAGAGGGUGACCGGCCACAUGAGGACUGGGAUACGGCCCAGACUCCUACGGGAGGCAGCAGUGGGGAAUAUUGCACAAUGGGCGGAAGCCUGAUGCAGCAACGCCGCGUGCGGGAUGACGGCCUUCGGGUUGUAAACCGCUUUCGCCUGUGACGAAGCGUGAGUGACGGUAAUGGGUAAAGAAGCACCGGCUAACUACGUG
rnacentral:rRNA from 1 species